rnacentral:rRNA from 1 species
GUCUGACGGAGCAACGCCGCGUGAGUGAAGAAGGUUUUCGGAUCGUAAAACUCUGUAGACAGAGAAGAACAAGUUGGAGAGUAACCGCUCCAGCCUUGACGGAAUCUGACCAGAAAGCCACGGCUAACUACGUGCCAGCAGCCGCGGUAAUACGUAGGUGGCAAGCGUCCCCUCGGAUUUAUUGGGCGUAAAGCGAGCGCAGGCGGUUCCUUAAGUCUGAUGUGAAAGCCCACGGCUCAACCGUGGAAGGUCAUUGGAAACUGGGGAACUUGAGUGCAGAAGAGGAGAGUGGAAUUCCAUGUGUAGCGGUGAAAUGCGUAGAUAUUUGGUGGAACACCAGUGGCGAAGGCGACUCUCUGGUCUGUAACUGACGCUGAGGCUCGAAAGCGUGGGGAGCAAACAGGAUUAGAUACCCUGGUAGUCCCCGCCGUAAACGAUGAGUGCUAAGU